rnacentral:rRNA from 1 species
GUAGCAUAAUCACUUGUUCUUUAAAUGAGGACUCGUAUCAACGGCAUCACGAGGAUCCUACUGUCUCCCCCCUCUAAUCGGUGAAACUGAUCUCUCCGUGAAGAAGCGGAGAUGUACAUAUAAGACGAGAAGACCCCAUGGAGCUUUAAACCCAACAACACCCGCCCCCCUCCAAAUCCUAUUAUUUACCCGGUGAUUGUUUGUUUGGUUUUAGGUUGGGGUGACCGCGGAGUAUAAGAUAUCCUCCAUGAAAAA